CUUCCGUGACAUGAAAAAUCUCUUGGCCUCCUUUAACCCCACGUCAAAGCAUAACUUCAAGCUUUCAAUACUUCUAUCUAGCCACCUCCCCCACUCUUGGGAUCGAUUACUACUCUGCAAACCGUUUAAGCACCUUCAUGACUAAUGGCUUCUCAGAUUUCGCACUCUACUCCUUAUAUAAGCUCCAGUCGCAUUUUCACUAUUCACUAGAAGAUAAAAUUCAUCCGAGCUAAUUGAUGGGAGUGAGAUCGACCACAAAGUUUAGCUUACACUGAAAGACAUUUGAUCUUUUGGUUUGACAGUCGUUUCUUUUCCGGCACGUUGUAGUAAAAGGGUAAGUCUGGCUCAAACCGGUACAAAAUCAAUAAUGCUUAUUCGCUUAAAGCUAUGUUGAAGGACGACAUUGUUUUGGCAAAACCACGUCGCAGCUCUAGGUUUCGAAAAAAAAUCAUUACUGAUUCAAGUGGUAGUCUUGUAUUACUUUGCCUCAGCAACGACUUUAUUUAGGUUGUCUUCCAUUUGAUAUAAUUUCCUUCGUAACCCUUCAUUUCUCUUGCUAGACUGCCUUGGAAAGGCAUUUGUGCAGGUACCAAAAAAAAAUCAGAAUUAUGACAAGAAGAUCAUUGAAAAGAAAAAGCACUUUACAUCUGUUGAAGAGUCCACUUUGGUGAAGCUUUUCUUGGUUGAUUUGGUCUAUCCGGCUUUUGGAAGUGCAGGGAAGCUGCUACCGGACAGAUGGAUGAGAUGACUAUUUUCCAAAGAACGGUUAGAAAAAUUCAGUUGUGGAUAGUGUGGCUAGUGUAUAUUAAUUCAGUUGUAAAUAGUGAAUACUAUUGUGAGUUUUCAAAUUUCAAAAUGCUCUCCGACGCCGGUGGUGCAGGCGCACGCCGGCGUCGCCUCUGCCAGUCUCCCCUAGUCACGACUACAUCUUUAAUUCACUUCUGCCCUGUAUCUCUUAUGGCUUCUUUCAAUUUUGCUGCUCUGGAUCUGGAUCUAUUG